rnacentral:rRNA from 1 species
UACGAAGGGGGCUAGCGUUGCUCGGAAUCACUGGGCGUAAAGGGCGCGUAGGCGGCGUUUUAAGUCGGGGGUGAAAGCCUGUGGCUCAACCACAGAAUGGCCUUCGAUACUGGGACGCUUGAGUAUGGUAGAGGUUGGUGGAACUGCGAGUGUAGAGGUGAAAUUCGUAGAUAUUCGCAAGAACACCAGUGGCGAAGGCGGCUUACUGGUCCGGUUCUGACGCUGAGGCGCGAAAGCGUGGGGAGCAAACAGG